rnacentral:rRNA from 1 species
UGGGGAUAUUGCACAAUGGGCGCAAGCCUGAUGCAGCCAUGCCGCGUGUGUGAAGAAGGCCUUCGGGUUGUAAAGCACUUUCAGUCAGGAGGAAAGGUUAGUAGUUAAUACCUGCUAGCUGUGACGUUACUGACAGAAGAAGCACCGGCUAACUCCGUGCCAGCAGCCGCGGUAAUACGGAGGGUGCGAGCGUUAAUCGGAAUUACUGGGCGUAAAGCGUACGCAGGCGGUUUGUUAAGCGAGAUGUGAAAGCCCCGGGCUCAACCUGGGAACUGCAUUUCGAACUGGCAAACUAGAGUGUGAUAGAGGGUGGUAGAAUUUCAGGUGUAGCGGUGAAAUGCGUAGAGAUCUGAAGGAAUACCGAUGGCGAAGGCAGCCACCUGGGUCAACACUGACGCUCAUGUACGAAAGCGUGGGGAGCAAACGGGAUUAGAUACCCCGGUAGUCCACGCCGUAAACGAUGUCUACUAGAAGCUCGGAGCCUCGGUUCUGUUUUUCAAAGCUAACGCAUUAAGUAGACCGCCUGGGGAGUACGGCCGCAAGGUUAAAACUCAAAUGAAUUGACGGGGGCCCCCCA